AGUCGAGGGGCAGCGGGGAGUAGCAAUACUCCGCCGGCGACCGGCGCACGGGUGCGUAACGCGUAUGCAACCUACCUUUAACAGGGGCAUAACACUGAGAAAUUGGUACUAAUUCCCCAUAACAUUCGAGAAGGCAUCUUCUUGGGUUAAAAACUCCGGUGGUUAAAGAUGGGCAUGCGUUGUAUUAGCUAGUUGGUGAGGUAACGGCUCACCAAGGCAACGAUACAUAGGGGGACUGAGAGGUUAACCCCCCACAUUGGUACUGAGACACGGACCAAACUCCUACGGGAGGCAGCAGUGAGGAAUAUUGGUCAAUGGACGCAAGUCUGAACCAGCCAUGCCGCGUGCAGGAAGACGGCUCUAUGAGUUGUAAACUGCUUUUGUACUAGGGUAAACGCUUCUACGUGUAGGAGCCUGAAAGUAUAGUACGAAUAAGGAUCGGCUAACUCCGUGCCAGCAGCCGCGGUAAUACGGAGGAUCCAAGCGUUAUCCGGAUUUAUUGGGUUUAAAGGGUGCGUAGGCGGUUUGAUAAGUUAGAGGUGAAAUACCGGGGCUCAACUCCGGAACUGCCUCUAAUACUGUUGAACUAGAGAGUAGUUGCGGUAGGCGGAAUGUAUGGUGUAGCGGUGAAAUGCUUAGAGAUCAUACAGAACACCGAUUGCGAAGGCAGCUUACCAAACUAUAUCUGACGUUGAGGCACGAAAG
rnacentral:rRNA from 1 species